UACGUAGGGUGCAAGCGUUGUCCGGAAUUAUUGGGCGUAAAGAGCUCGUAGGCGGUGUGUCGCGUCGGCCGUGAAAACUUGCAGCUUAACUGUGGGCGUGCGGUCGAUACGGGCAUCACUGGAGUUCGGCAGGGGAGACUGGAAUUCCUGGUGUAGCGGUGGAAUGCGCAGAUAUCAGGAGGAACACCGAUGGCGAAGGCAGCUCGCUGGGACGGUACUGACGCUGAGGCGCGAAAGCUAGGGGAGCAAACAGG
rnacentral:rRNA from 1 species